CUAUCUCUUGAGUGGUCAAAGGAAUUGACGGGGGCCCGCACAAGCGGUGGAGCAUGUGGUUUAAUUCGAAGCAACGCGAAGAACCUUACCAGGUCUUGACAUCCUUUGACCACUCUAGAGAUAGAGCUUCCCCUUCGGGGGCAAAGUGACAGGUGGUGCAUGGUUGUCGUCAGCUCGUGUCGUGAGAUGUUGGGUUAAGUCCCGCAACGAGCGCAACCCUUAUUGUUAGUUGCCAUCAUUUAGUUGGGCACUCUAGCGAGACUGCCGGUGACAAACCGGAGGAAGGUGGGGAUGACGUCAAAUCAUCAUGCCCCUUAUGACCUGGGCUACACACGUGCUACAAUGGGAAGUACAACGAGUCGCGAAGUCGCGAGGCUAAGCUAAUCUCUUAAAGCUUCUCUCAGUUCGGAUUGUAGGCUGCAACUCGCCUACAUGAAGCCGGAAUCGCUAGUAAUCGCGGAUCAGCACGCCGCGGUGAAUACGUUCCCGGGCCUUGUACACACCGCCCGUCACACCACGAGAGUUUGUAACACCCGAAGUCGGUGAGGUAACCUUUUGGAGCCAGCCGCCUAAGGUGGGAUAGAUGAUUGGGGUGAAGUCGUAACAAGGUAGCCGUAUCGGAAGGUGCGGCUGGAUCACCUCCUUU
rfam:Trichuris trichiura, WGS project CBXK01000000 data, contig: TTRE_2054